UUAAGCGACUAAGCGUACACGGUGGAUGCCCUGGCAGUCAGAGGCGAUGAAGGACGUGCUAAUCUGCGAAAAGCGUCGGUAAGGUGAUAUGAACCGUUACAGCCGGCGAUGUCCGAAUGGGGAAACCCAGUGCAAUUCGUUGCACUAUCGUUAACUGAAUACAUAGGUUAACGAGGCGAACCGGGGGAACUGAAACAUCUAAGUACCCCGAGGAAAAGAAAUCAACCGAGAUUCCCCCAGUAGCGGCGAGCGAACGGGGAGCAGCCCAGAGUCUGAAUCAGCUUGUGUGUUAGUGGAACGGUCUGGAAAGUCCGACGGUACAGGGUGAUAGUCCCGUACACCAAAAUGCACAGGCUGUGAACUCGAAGAGUAGGGCGGGACACGUGGUAUCCUGUCUGAAUAUGGGGGGACCAUCCUCCAAGGCUAAAUACUCCUGACUGACCGAUAGUGAACCAGUACCGUGAGGGAAAGGCGAAAAGAACCCCGGCGAGGGGAGUGAAAAAGAACCUGAAACCGUGUACGUACAAGCAGUGGGAGCACCUUCGGGUGUGACUGCGUACCUUUUGUAUAAUGGGUCAGCGACUUAUAUUCUGUAGCAAGGUUAACCGUAUAGGGGAGCCGCAGGGAAACCGAGUCUUAACUGGGCGUUAAGUUGCAGGGUAUAGACCCGAAACCCGGUGAUCUAGCCAUGGGCAGGUUGAAGGUUGGGUAACACUAACUGGAGGACCGAACCGACUAAUGUUGAAAAAUUAGCGGAUGACUUGUGGCUGGGGGUGAAAGGCCAAUCAAACCGGGAGAUAGCUGGUUCUCCCCGAAAGCUAUUUAGGUAGCGCCUCGUGAAUUCAUCUUCGGGGGUAGAGCACUGUUUCGGCUAGGGGGUCAUCCCGACUUACCAACCCGAUGCAAACUACGAAUACCGAAGAAUGUUAUCACGGGAGACACACGGCGGGUGCUAACGUCCGUCGUGAAGAGGGAAACAACCCAGACCGCCAGCUAAGGUCCCAAAGUCAUGGUUAAGUGGGAAACGAUGUGGGAAGGCACAGACAGCCAGGAUGUUGGCUUAGAAGCAGCCAUCAUUUAAAGAAAGCGUAAUAGCUCACUGGUCGAGUCGGCCUGCGCGGAAGAUGUAACGGGGCUAAACCAUGCACCGAAGCUGCGGCAGCGACACUAUGUGUUGUUGGGUAGGGGAGCGUUCUGUAAGCCUGCGAAGGUGACCUGUGAGGGUUGCUGGAGGUAUCAGAAGUGCGAAUGCUGACAUAAGUAACGAUAAAGCGGGUGAAAAGCCCGCUCGCCGGAAGACCAAGGGUUCCUGUCCAACGUUAAUCGGGGCAGGGUGAGUCGACCCCUAAGGCGAGGCCGAAAGGCGUAGUCGAUGGGAAACAGGUUAAUAUUCCUGUACUUGGUGUUACUGCGAAGGGGGGACGGAGAAGGCUAUGUUAGCCGGGCGACGGUUGUCCCGGUUUAAGCAUGUAGGCUGGUUGUCCAGGCAAAUCCGGAUAAUCAAGGCUGAGGUGUGAUGACGAGGCACUACGGUGCUGAAGUAACAAAUGCCCUGCUUCCAGGAAAAGCCUCUAAGCAUCAGGUAACAUUAAAUCGUACCCCAAACCGACACAGGUGGUCAGGUAGAGAAUACCAAGGCGCUUGAGAGAACUCGGGUGAAGGAACUAGGCAAAAUGGUGCCGUAACUUCGGGAGAAGGCACGCUGGUGUGUAGGUGAAGUCCCUGCGGAUGGAGCUGAGACCAGUCGAAGAUACCAGCUGGCUGCAACUGUUUAUUAAAAACACAGCACUGUGCAAACACGAAAGUGGACGUAUACGGUGUGACGCCUGCCCGGUGCCGGAAGGUUAAUUGAUGGGGUUAUCCGUAAGGAGAAGCUCUUGAUCGAAGCCCCGGUAAACGGCGGCCGUAACUAUAACGGUCCUAAGGUAGCGAAAUUCCUUGUCGGGUAAGUUCCGACCUGCACGAAUGGCGUAAUGAUGGCCAGGCUGUCUCCACCCGAGACUCAGUGAAAUUGAACUCGCUGUGAAGAUGCAGUGUACCCGCGGCAAGACGGAAAGACCCCGUGAACCUUUACUAUAGCUUGACACUGAACAUUGAGCCUUGAUGUGUAGGAUAGGUGGGAGGCUUUGAAGCGUGGACGCCAGUCUGCGUGGAGCCAACCUUGAAAUACCACCCUUUAAUGUUUGAUGUUCUAACGUUGGCCCCUUACCGGGGUUGCGGACAGUGUCUGGUGGGUAGUUUGACUGGGGCGGUCUCCUCCCAAAGCGUAACGGAGGAGCACGAAGGUUAGCUAAUCCUGGUCGGACAUCAGGAGGUUAGUGCAAUGGCAUAAGCUAGCUUGACUGCGAGCGUGACGGCGCGAGCAGGUGCGAAAGCAGGUCAUAGUGAUCCGGUGGUUCUGAAUGGAAGGGCCAUCGCUCAACGGAUAAAAGGUACUCCGGGGAUAACAGGCUGAUACCGCCCAAGAGUUCAUAUCGACGGCGGUGUUUGGCACCUCGAUGUCGGCUCAUCACAUCCUGGGGCUGAAGUAGGUCCCAAGGGUAUGGCUGUUCGCCAUUUAAAGUGGUACGCGAGCUGGGUUUAGAACGUCGUGAGACAGUUCGGUCCCUAUCUGCCGUGGGCGCUGGAGAAUUGAGGGGGGCUGCUCCUAGUACGAGAGGACCGGAGUGGACGCAUCACUGGUGUUCGGGUUGUCAUGCCAAUGGCACUGCCCGGUAGCUAAAUGCGGAAGAGAUAAGUGCUGAAAGCAUCUAAGCACGAAACUUGCCCCGAGAUGAGUUCUCCCUGAGACUUUAAGUCUCCUGAAGGAACGUUAAAGACGAUGACGUUGAUAGGCCGGGUGUGUAAGCGCAGCGAUGCGUUGAGCUAACCGGUACUAAUGAACCGUGAGGCUUAACCUU
rnacentral:rRNA from 5 species